rnacentral:rRNA from 1 species
AUUGAACGCUGGCGGCAGGCCUAACACAUGCAAGUCGAGCGGAUGAAGGGAGCUUGCUCCUGGAUUCAGCGGCGGACGGGUGAGUAAUGCCUAGGAAUCUGCCUGGUAGUGGGGGAUAACGUCCGGAAACGGGCGCUAAUACCGCAUACGUCCUGAGGGAGAAAGUGGGGGAUCUUCGGACCUCACGCUAUCAGAUGAGCCUAGGUCGGAUUAGCUGGUUGGUGGGGUAAAGGCCUACCAAGGCGACGAUCCGUAACUGGUCUGAGAGGAUGAUCAGUCACACUGGAACUGAGACACGGUCCAGACUCCUACGGGAGGCAGCAGUGGGGAAUAUUGGACAAUGGGCGAAAGCCUGAUCCAGCCAUGCCGCGUGUGUGAAGAAGGUCUUCGGAUUGUAAAGCACUUUAAGUUGGGAGGAAGGGCAGUAAGUUAAUACCUUGCUGUUUUGACGUUACCAACAGAGUAAGCACCGGCUAACUUCGUG